GUACUGAAUUAAAGUUUCAAACUAAAAACAAUAGCGUUUACGAAAUUUCAAUUUCUAUCCGUUCUGAGGACAUGAGGCCUUGGAUUUUAUUUGGGACACCUCAGAGCACACAUACUAAAAAAAGUUGAUACGAAAAAGAUAACGGCGUUCCGGAAAUUUUGACCAAUCGUAUAUAGGUAUGCCUUACUUCCUUUAAAAAUUAAAAGCCAACGAUGACACAGCAAUUUUAUUAUGUUACACAAUACUCGGGCGUUGGCAUGAAUGUAUUUGCCUUAUCAUAUUUAUUUGAAUUUCCUUAUUCAGCAAACAAUGCAACAAAAUUACUGCGUUGCAAGAGAAACGAGACAUGUCGAAAAUUAAGAUAUUGAAACGCGAUAGUUACGAGUAUAAUAGUUUGUAAAAAUUUACUUUUGUCCUAAAAUGUUUUAGGAGGCGAGAGUGCAGUUACGAACACCGACGCUCGUGAAAUGUUUAUCAAAUGGGUAACCUUUAUUUUAAACAAUACAUUUUUCUGCAGUGUUUCUAUUUAAAAUAUUGCGUAACACUUCCAGCUGUCCAGCUGUGUUGCUACUAUCAGGCAAAACACCGCGGGAGGAAUAACAAAAAAUGCGAUAGUGCGAAGGAGUGCGAACGAAGUCGAUUUAGCGGGUGCCGCACCGACAAUAAUUUGCGAUUGAUGUCAUUGGCAAAUUAAUUUGCGUUAAAUUGAGUCGUAUUAAGUACAGUAGUGCAGUAAACUUUUUCAACUUCUUAUGUGUUGUGUGUGCAACAUGAAUACGGAACAGGCACGUGUUAUGUUGAUUGGAAAAACGAAAAUUAUUCAAGAACAAAAAGAGCAUUCAGGAUUUCUUCGCAUUGAACUACCAGGAGCAUCGGCGAGGACUGAAGAAAAUGUUGGCAUCAGAGGAGGCCAAGACCAGUUUCAGCUUCAAAAUACACCAUCCCGAAUGGUGAACAAAGUGGUCCUUAUGCCGAUCGAGAGCUAAGUGAGGAUGAUUGUUAUCAUAUACCCACCGAGGACAGCAGGAGUAGCAGCGACGAGAUUUCUGAAAGCACACCCUUGACAACAGUACCAUUAAGACUUCAAUUAAAACCUAGAAAACAAGGAAAGAAAGAAUUCCUAAAAGAUGUAAAAAGAUGCGUAAAUACCACCCCAAAGUCCAAAGUUUGUCAAGAAAAAGAUUCGGAAUGGAAAGAAGAUUAUUGACGUUUCGUCGACAAGAAGAUGAUCGAAUGUAUAGGAUAACUGUUAGGACUUCAGAUAUACGGGAAACACACAAUUUCGUAACUUGCCCUAACUGGAAGUACUUAAUAGUCAAGCUGACGAUUUGGAGAAAUUUCGUGUAAAAUCUUUAGAACUAUAACGGUAUACUCAAUCGGAGGAUUAUGAUUUAAAAGAUGUUACAGAUAGAGAAUUUUGACGAAGACAUAUUAGCGAAAGAAUCAUUAUCGGAGAAAUCACCACUUCUUGAUGUGGUAGUCACAGGAUCAAAGAAAACGGUACAAAAAAACAAGCAUACAGAACACCAACAAAACAAGUAAUGACAAGAAAUUAAGUAAAGAAACUGAGUCUAUUACAAUGCUGAUACUAGAACAUUCCCAAAUAGAAACACCACAUAAAAAGUCAAGAAAUUCUCGAGGAAAACCAAGAAUUCCGACAACGAAACAACUUGAAGCCAUAGUUUCUAAUCCAUCUAAAAGGCAAAAAUUAACGUAAGAAACUACUCUAUUGCAAACAGUUUUUAAAACUUGAUAGAAAACAAAAAAAUAUCCACUUUAAAUUUCUGUAUAACGAAAGUACUUCCUGUAAACAAGAAUGUUUUUCAAACUGCUAGUUAAACGAGGUCACUGAAGAGUAUGGUUAACUUCAAUUCAUUUACCUUUUCUUUUGGAAUUCCUGGGUAUGUUUUUUAUUUUGUACCUUGAUUAUAUAUAUUUUUAAUAUUCUUCAGUCGAGAACGUUUUUCAAACUGUUUUUAAAACAAAAUCGCCGUUUAAUUGGAUUCAAUAUCAAAUUAAGGCUAGCUGCUAGGUCUUUUACAUGUGAUUUUCAGUACAUAUUCAGAAGGUAAUAUUUCCAGUAUUAAUGGACGUAUGGUCGUAAAAUUUUAAAUAUAACAUCUCCACAACUUUCUCUACAUAGCACAAGGUCAGUUUUGUUAAAAACAAUUUAAUCAUCACCUUUUUUUUUAAUGAAAUUUUUGCAUUAACGUAUCUUUCAAAAUUAAUAUCUCAAUUAUGUAUGGAAAUUGCAGAACACUGUUUCAGUUGAUAAAACUCCAUCGUACCAAAUACGUUGGAAAUGGGACAGUCAAAGUUGUCUAGUAAAAGCUUUUAGAUGCUUCUUUUUCUGUAUCUCAGUUCCAACAAAAAAAGUGGACGAUAUGUCUGGUACGAUUUUUGAAGUUUGGUGAGAUAAAAACGGUGGAAACCGCGUUCCAAAAUUUCGAUAUAUAAUUCAGAUAUUGAUUUUUUAAAACACGUGAAAGUUUCAACAAAAUUUAAAAAAUAUGAGAUAAUAAACUAUUUAAAUCAUUUCAAACUACCGGGUGGGAAAAAUUACACAUCGUUUCGGGUGUAAUUUUAAGGUCAUGGGGUCCUCUUGGACCCCAUGGCCUUAUUUAGCCAAAAUUAAGGAAUUAAUCAAAAAUUUUUGGCGAAUCCAAAUUAUUUAUUAAUUUUAAACACAACCAAGUUAAAAAAAUUACAUAACAAUAUUAAAUAAGCAUUUUUCGUUACAGUUUUUUGUUCCAGCAUUCCUGACAUUCAACAGUACGAGUAGAAUGUACUCGGCAAACAAAUCUUUUGUAGGAAAUGCAAAAAUUUCUUGAUUUCUGUCCCUGUUACUUAUAUAGACGAAACAGCGUCCGCGGGAUUGUACUGAUAUCGAUUUUGAUAAGGUGCCAUUUAUAAAACAAAAUUUAAUUUUUUAGAGAGAUUAAAUUGUCACACUGACACCGAUACUGACGCUUGCAAGUCUGUAUCAAAACAGCAACGCCAUCUAUAAACUAGUAAAGAAUAAAACAAUGGUUUUUGAAAGACUAAAUUCUCAGAAUAAAACCUGCAGGUGCAAUAAAAUCUCAAAAAUAUAGACAAAAAAAUGGCAACAAAAAGAAUCAGGUGGGGUCCAUGCGGACCCCAAGAGACUAAUUUUUUUUUUGUAACAGACUGUUACACCUAUACAAUUGAUAUUUUUUGAAUGCAUAGCAAAAGGCCUUAAUUGAAGCUACUAAAAAUACCACUAUCGUUAAACCAGAAAAUAACGGGAAAAAUAGGAAAUUGUAUCAAUGGGGUCCAUUUGGACACCACCCGGUAGUUUGAAGGUUAAAAAAAUUCUCGUAUUAUGUAGCGAAACUUGUGGACAGGUUACAUUUAAAUUUUCGUAACAGUAAAUGUGUUAAUAAGGGAGAUAUUAAAUUCUGAAUAUAUAUUGACAAUAUCAUAAGAACCAAACGUAGCGAUUUCUCAUAAUUGGAAGUAUUUAUGUACCUUUAGAUUUUUGGAAUUCCUAGAUAUAUUUUAUUUUCUACAUUAAUAGUUUUUUUAUAAUAUCUAUUGUUCGUACAGUUGAGAAAGUUUUUCAAGCUGUUUGUAAAACUAGGUCAUUAUAUAGUUGCAUUUAAUAUCGAAUUAAAUGGAAAUAUUUA